GACGGAGGGUGCAAGCGUUGUUCGGAUUGACUGGGCGUAAAGGGCGUGUAGGCGGUCGGUCAAGUCUGAUGUGAAAGCCCGGGGCUCAGCUCCGGAAGUGCAUCGGAAACUAGCCGGCUGGAGCGCGAUAGAGGAGGGCGGAAUUCCUGGUGUAGCGGUGAAAUGCGUAGAUAUCAGGAGGAACACCGGCGGCGAAGGCGGCCCUCUGGAUCGUUGCUGACGCUGAGACGCGAAAGCGUGGGGAGCAAACAGG
rnacentral:rRNA from 1 species